rnacentral:rRNA from 1 species
GAGGUUGUGCCCUUGAGGCGUGGCUUCCGGAGCUAACGCGUUAAGUCGACCGCCUGGGGAGUACGGCCGCAAGGUUAAAACUCAAAUGAAUUGACGGGGGCCCGCACAAGCGGUGGAGCAUGUGGUUUAAUUCGAUGCAACGCGAAGAACCUUACCUGGUCUUGACNNCCACGGAAGUUUUCAGAGAUGAGAAUGUGCCUUCGGGAACCGUGAGACAGGUGCUGCAUGGCUGUCNNNNGCUCNNNUUGUGAAAUGUUGGGUUAAGUCCCGCAACGAGCGCAACCCUUAUCCUUUGUUGCCAGCGGUCCGGCCGGGAACUCAAAGGAGACUGCCAGUGAUAAACUGGAGGAAGGUGGGGAUGACGUCAAGUCAUCAUGGCCCUUACGACCAGGGCUACACACGUGCUACAAUGGCGCAUACAAAGAGAAAGCGACCUCGCGAGAGCGAAGCGGACCUCAUAAAGUGCGUCGUAGUCCGGAUUGGAGUCUGCGAACUCGAC